GACAGAGGGUGCAAACGUUGUUCGGAAUUACUGGGCGUAAAGCGUGUGUAGGCGGUCCGAUAAGUCGGGUGUGAAAGCCCUGGGCUCAACCCAGGAAGUGCACUCGAAACUGCCGGGCUAGAGUAUCGGAGAGGUUGGUGGAAUUCUCGGUGUAGAGGUGAAAUGCGUAGAUAUCUGGAGGAACACCGGUGGCGAAGGCGGCGUCCUGGACCAACACUGACACUGAUGAGCGAAAGCCAGGGGAGCAAACGGG
rnacentral:rRNA from 1 species